GGGGCCGUAGUCUAGCCUGGCUAGGAUACGUGGGUUCAACCACGCCUGAGGCUCGGCUCGGGAUCAACGUAGCAGACGCGAGCCCGAGUGAUCCCGGGUUCAAAUCCCGGCGGCCCCA
rnacentral:tRNA from 1 species